UGCAGCAACGCCGCGUGAGGGAUGACGGCCUUCGGGUUGUAAACCUCUUUUAGUAGGGAAGAAGCGAAAGUGACGGUACCUGCAGAAAAAGCACCGGCUAACUACGUGCCAGCAGCCGCGGUAAUACGUAGGGUGCAAGCGUUGUCCGGAAUUAUUGGGCGUAAAGAGCUCGUAGGCGGUUUGUCGCGUCUGCUGUGAAAUCCCGAGGCUCAACCUCGGGCUUGCAGUGGGUACGGGCAGACUAGAGUGCGGUAGGGGAGAUUGGAAUUCCUGGUGUAGCGGUGGAAUGCGCAGAUAUCAGGAGGAACACCGAUGGCGAAGGCAGAUCUCUGGGCCGUAACUGACGCUGAGGAGCGAAAGCAUGGGGAGCGAACAGGAUUAGAUACCCUGGUAGUCCAUGCCGUAAACGUUGGGCGCUAGAUGUAGGGACCUUUCCACGGUUUCUGUGUCGUAGCUAACGCAUUAAGCGCCCCGCCUGGGGAGUACGGCCGCAAGGCUAAAACUCAAAGGAAUUGACGGGGGCCCGCACAAGCGGCGGAGCAUGCGGAUUAAUUCGAUGCAACGCGAAGAACCUUACCAAGGCUUGACAUACACCGGAAACGGCCAGAGAUGGUCGCCCCCUUGU
rnacentral:rRNA from 1 species